ACCAAAAACAGUUGAAUAAUAAAAAAAUCAUAACAUGUAUAUAUAUAUAUAUAUAUAUAUACAUAUAUAUUGGGAAAACAUACUUAAUGGUCGAUUAUUGGAUUCGGAGAGUAAAGUCAAAAGAAAUGGGGAGAAAGGGAGAUUAUUUAAACAUGGAAAAAGAAAGUUUUGCAGGAUUUCGUGGAAUAAAAUGGAGGAAAAUAUUUUUUUUGCUUGGUCAUUAAUUUUUAUUUAUUUAUUGGAAGAUAUAAUCUCGCAAGUAAAAAACCGGGGGUGCAGAUCUCCCAAAAAAAAAUAACAAUCUAAGAAAAAAGUAUCAUUCUUCAUUCCCAUUCAAAAUGUUCCACGAAUAUUAGAUAUAAUAUUUAUUUUCGACGAA